CUACGGGAUGCACCAGUCGCGGAACUUUUACAAUGCACGCAAGUGUGAUAAAGCAAGCCAAAGUGUUUUUCUUUUAGAAAAACUUUUCUUAGCGUAAAAAUCUAGAGGAAUAAGGACUGGGAAAGACUGGUGCCAGCCGCCGCGGUAAUACCAGCAGUUCAAGUUGCAUCCACUUUUAUUGGGUCUAAAACAUCCGUAGCUUGCCGUUUAAGUCUCUUGUGAAAUCCUACGUCUCAAGCGUAGGGCUUGCAGGGGAUACUGGACGGCUAGAGAUCGGUAGACGUAAAGAGUACGCCGGGGGUAACGGUUAAAUGUGUUAAUCCUCGGUGGACUAACAAUGAGCGAAGGCACUUUACGAGGACGAAUCUGACAGUGAGGGAUGAAGGCCAGGGGCGCAAAACGGAUUAGAUACCCCCGUAGUC
rnacentral:rRNA from 1 species